CCUUUGGUGAAAAUUGGGGUUUUGAGAGUUUCUACCUCCAUUGAAGCUUGAGGAGCCAUCAAUCCUUGGUUGUGUGACCAUUGGUGGAUUGAGACAUUUGGACCAACCGUGAGUGAUCAACCAUUGGAGCAAGCUAUGGAGCUUGAAUAGCUCAUUGGAAUUGGUGUAUGUUUGUAAAAGUUGAUUGCUGAAACUGUUGGUGAAGAACAAAGGUUGACUGAAGCAUUGAGGUAAGGAUGCUGCAGGAGCCUCUGGUGGCAAGUGGCCAUACCUAGAUUAUGCAUGAAAUAUGGCACUUCUUUGAGUUUAUGCAUGCCUUUUGUAGUUGACAUGUAUAGGAUUUUAUUUUGAAAGCCCAUGAUCAUUUGUAUAUCUUGAUUCAUUGGAUGAACUUAGCCUAUGCUCAUGCCUUUGGUUACACCUUUUGUUGAUGGGAGCCAAGGGAAUGAUCAUAGUGUUUUGUAAGCUAAGUUCUAUGAUUUGUAAAGGAUAUGUAAUGUAAAU